UGCAGUCGAACGGCAGCACGGGUGCUUGCACCUGGUGGCGAGUGGCGAACGGGUGAGUAAUAUAUCGGAACGUACCUUAUUGUGGGGGAUAACGCAGCGAAAGCUGUGCUAAUACCGCAUAAUCCCUAAGGGGGAAAGCGGGGGACCGUAAGGCCUCGCGCAAUUAGAGCGGCCGAUACCUGAUUAGCUAGUUGGUGAGGUAAAGGCUCACCAAGGCAACGAUCAGUAGCUGGUCUGAGAGGACGAUCAGCCACACUGGGACUGAGACACGGCCCAGACUCCUGCGGGAGGCAGCAGUGGGGAAUUUUGGACAAUGGGGGCAACCCUGAUCCAGCAAUGCCGCGUGAGUGAAGAAGGCCUUCGGGUUGUAAAGCUCUUUUGUCAGGGAAGAAACAGCAGCUCUAACACAGUCUGCGAAUGACGGUACCUGAAGAAUAAGCACCGGCUAACUACGUGCCAGCAGCCGCGGUAAUACGUAGGGUGCAAGCGUUAAUCGGAAUUACUGGGCGUAAAGCGUGCGCAGGCGGUUAUACAAGACAGGCGUGAAAUCCCCGGGCUUAACCUGGGAAUGGCGUCUGUGACUGUAUGACUAGAGUGUGUCAGAGGGGGGUAGAAUUCCACGUGUAGCAGUGAAAUGCGUAGAUAUGUGGAGGAAUACCAAUGGCGAAGACAGCCCCCUGGGAUAACACUGACGCUCAUGCACGAAAGCGUGGGGAGCAAACAGGAUUAGAUACCCUGGUAGUCCACGCCCUAAACGAUGCCGACUAGUUGUUGGGAAUUUACAUUCUCAGUAACGUAGCUAACGCGUGAAGUCGGCCGCCUGGGGAGUACGGUCGCAAGAUUAAUACUCAAAGGAAUUGACGGGGACCCGCACAAGCGGUGGAUGGAUGUGGAUUAAUUCGAUGCAACGCGAAAAACCUUACCUACCCUUGACAUGUCACUAACGAAGU
rnacentral:rRNA from 1 species